AUUGAAAUGAAAUAUGUUAAAUUAUGAAUUUGUACAGUAUAUAGACAUACAAACACAGACUAUUACCUGAUUUUACUAUCAAUGUUUUUUCAUGAAAAAAAAAUAUAUAUAUAUAUCUUGAUUUAUUUUAUAUUCACUGACAAAUUAUAGCAAUUAACUUUCCUGUUAUAUUCCUAUAUAUUUUUAAUGCUAAAGAAGAAUAUAUUUAAGAGGCGGCAAAACCAAAGCUCCAAAAAACACCAAUUUGUUAAAUUAAAAAGGCUAACACAAAGCGUGUAACGUUUCAGCACACCGGCUCUUCAUCAGACAGUAUUCAUCACAGCAUGUUGCUCUGUUUAUUCACUUCCGGAUCACACAAUCUCAUACAUUUCCACAACAAAAAAUAGAAAAAUACACAUAAAGAAUACACAUUAGUUAAUAAUAAUAACUAAUCAAUAACUAACACAUAAUAAAAAUUAGUUUAUACUAAAGAAGUCACUUAUGCUCACUAAGAGUGCUUUUGAUUGACAAGAAAUUUAGUACAAACAAUAAUAUUAUGACGUAUAAAAAAUCAAAUGACCAUUUCAAUUUAUUCCUGAAUUUAGAGAAUAGGUGCGUUCAACUUCAUGCAGUGCUGUGGAGAUUGACCAAAACCUGUCUUAAAGGGGUGCAUGCCGAUUAUACAUUUUGUUCGGCUUGAAGCUGCACCAACGCCACGUAACUACCACAUGUGGCUUCAAAGUACCGUGACAGCUCUCUGAGAUCAGACGACUGAUUCAGCCAGUGCAGCAUCUAAAGAGCGACUGCAGGAACUGCGAUGACGACACCGAUGUUAUACAAUUGGUUGGAUUCCUCGCAUGACAACAACCACAUGUGUUUCAGAUACUUGUUGACACCUGGACAUGGAUCAGAGUAAAGAGAAUUUGAAGCGCUCAGAGAACAAGUCUUCCUCCCAUUGCAUCUGAUGAGAUUCCAGUACCAUGUGGCGAGGCUGGAUUAAAGAUAAUGAGGUUUAGUUUCUUGCACAGACUGGUCAUUUCAUUUAAAACCUCAGUGUAACAUCAGGAGCCAGUAUUUUUGUAUAUGUUUGUUAACUUUCAUAAUGUGAGUCAUCAGGAAUCGCCGUUUCAGCUAAAAAGUAUUUCUACGGGAUCAAAAUAAGCCACCCACACUUUUUUGAUAGACGCAUCAGCUAAAUUAAUACAGGUAAAUGUAUUUAAAGCACAGAAAAAUGAAAUGUAUAACACACAUUUACUCUGUGUUGGGGAUUGAGUAAUUUGUCGUAUUAUCUCAUGCAUGUCAGUGAUUAUGUUACAUUACAAAUGUAAAUAUGGGAGGUGAAUUCAUUCAUUUUUGUC